rnacentral:rRNA from 1 species
CCUACGGGGGGCAGCAGUGGGGAAUAUUGCACGAUGGGCGCAAGCCUGAUGCAGCCAUGCCGCGUGUGUGAAGAAGGCCUUCGGGUUGUAAAGCACUUUCAGCGGGGAGGUAGGCGGUGAGGUUAAUAACCUCAUCGAUUGACGUUACCCGCAGAAGAAGCACCGGCUAACUCCGUGCCAGCAGCCGCGGUAAUACGGAGGGUGCAAGCGUUAAUCGGAAUUACUGGGCGUAAAGCGCACGCAGGCGGUCUGUCAAGUCGGAUGUGAAAUCCCCGGGCUCAACCUGGGAACUGCAUUCGAAACUGGCAGGCUAGAGUCUUGUAGAGGGGGGUAGAAUUCCAGGUGUAGCGGUGAAAUGCGUAGAGAUCUGGAGGAAUACCGGUGGCGAAGGCGGCCCCCUGGACAAAGACUGACGCUCAGGUGCGAAAGCGUGGGGAGCAAACAGGAUUAGAUACCCCGGUAGUC